AUUGAGCGCUGGCGGCAGGCCUAACACAUGCAAGUCGAACGGUAACAGAAAGCAGCUUGCUGCUUUGCUGACGAGUGGCGGACGGGUGAGUAAUGUCUGGGAAACUGCCUGAUGGAGGGGGAUAACUACUGGAAACGGUAGCUAAUACCGCAUAACGUCGCAAGACCAAAGAGGGGGACCUUCUGGCCUCUUGCCAGCGGAUGUGCCCAGAUGGGAUUAGCUAGUAGGUGGGGUAACGGCUCACCUAGGCGACGAUCCCUAGCUGGUCUGAGAGGAUGACCAGCCACACUGGAACUGAGACACGGUCCAGACUCCUACGGGAGGCAGCAGUGGGGAAUAUUGCACAAUGGGCGCAAGCCUGAUGCAGCCAUGCCGCGUGUAUGAAGAAGGCCUUCGGGUUGUAAAGUACUUUCAGCGGGGAGGAAGGGAGUAAAGUUAAUACCUUUGCUCAUUGACGUUACCCGCAGAAGAAGCACCGGCUAACUCCGUG
rnacentral:rRNA from 1 species